GACGAACGCUGGCGGCGUGCCUAAUACAUGCAAGUAGAACGCACAGUUUAUACCGUAGCUUGCUACACCAUAGACUGUGAGUUGCGAACGGGUGAGUAACGCGUAGGUAACCUGCCUGGUAGCGGGGGAUAACUAUUGGUAACGAUAGCUAAUACCGCAUAAUAUUAAUUAUUGCAUGAUAAUUAAUUGAAAGGUGCAAUUGCACCACUACCAGAUGGACCUGCGUUGUAUUAGCUAGUAGGUGAGGUAACGGCUCACCUAGGCGACGAUACAUAGCCGACCUGAGAGGGGGAGCUGCCAGACUGGGACUGAGACACGGCCCAGACGCCUACGGGAGGCAGCAGUAGGGAAGCUGCGGCAAUGGACGAGAGUCUGACCGAGCAACGCCGCGUGAGGGAAGAAGGGUUUCGGAUCGUAAAGCUCUGUUGUAAGAGAAGAACGGGUGUGAGAGUGGAAAGUUCACACUGUGACGGUAUCUUACCAGAAAGGGACGGCUAACUACGUG
rnacentral:rRNA from 1 species